rnacentral:rRNA from 1 species
UGGGGAAUUUUGGACAAUGGGCGCAAGCCUGAUCCAGCCAUGCCGCGUGCGGGAAGAAGGCCUUCGGGUUGUAAACCGCUUUUGUCAGGGAAGAAACGCUCUGGGCUAAUACCCUGGGGUAAUGACGGUACCUGAAGAAUAAGCACCGGCUAACUACGUGCCAGCAGCCGCGGUAAUACGUAGGGUGCAAGCGUUAAUCGGAAUUACUGGGCGUAAAGCGUGCGCAGGCGGUUAUGCAAGACAGAUGUGAAAUCCCCGGGCUCAACCUGGGAACUGCAUUUGUGACUGUAUAGCUAGAGUACGGUAGAGGGGGAUGGAAUUCCGCGUGUAGCAGUGAAAUGCGUAGAUAUGCGGAGGAACACCGAUGGCGAAGGCAAUCCCCUGGACCUGUACUGACGCUCAUGCACGAAAGCGUGGGGAGCAAACAGGAUUAGAUACCCCCGUAGUCCCUGAGCGGGC